rnacentral:lncRNA from 1 species
AUAAGAACAGAAAAAUUAUUAAAUACAUAAGAUAACAAUAUGAAAAUUAAUAAAUACAUAAGAUAACAAUUGAUAUUUUUUGGUCUGAUGUUUUUUACUGGAGCAUAACUUAUUGUGGGUUUUGGUUAAAAAUGUAAAAUUAAAGGGAGAAAAAAGAUAUGUAUGAAAUAUUCAUUUCAAAUGAUAAUGAUAAUUUAUAAUUUAAAGCAUAAUAAAACAAUAGUGAUUUAUAACAUAAAAUAAUAAACUUACAAAUAAGAACAGAAAAUUAAUAAAUACAUAAGAUAACAAUAUGACAAAGGUGUUGGCAAUUGCGCUACUGACGUGAUGUGACCAUCACUUGUGCCCCAUACCUGGAAACUACCUAGUUGUGCUGACAAUCAGAUCUGAUCAUGUCACGAGCUGAAGUGAUUGCGCUUUUAUCACUAAAGUGACAAUCAGCAAUUGACCAAGGAUAGUGCAAUCCUGUAAUGUCUUAAAGCUGGACUUGGGGUGUGGUUUAGUCAGUAUCUCAAGCCUUACGAUCAUUGCAAUGUGAUAUAGCUGUGAUCACAUGAUGGUUGCAGUGAGAUCACGAACACAACAAGAUCCGGUCAUAGUGUGGUUGUGUUUGUAGAGGAUAGGUCUUGGUGGUAGCUUCACCUGAUUCCAGUGUAGUAGUUGUAGGUGGUUUGAGUUAUAAUCCAGUUGCAUAAGAUGAAUCAAACAAACUGGAGUAAGGUUACAAGGAGUUAAUGAACUCAUAUAAUAUCUUUUUCAAAAUACAAUUCAACUAGUUAAAGAAUUCUUUCAGCAGCUUGUGGUCUUUGCGAUUAUGUGAUGCAGUCAUGAUAGUAUGAAGAAAUUGUUACUAGAUGUGAAUUAUUUUUUAAAUAUGUUAUUAGAUGUGAAGUGUAUUAAGUCAUAAGAGGGUUUUGUUACAUUUGAGACUUAAAAAUGGAAAUGAAUCAGACAAUAAAUUGGUCAAUAUUAAUUUUUUUUUAGCUUAUAAGCUCUUUAAAACAAAAGUUGUUUCCCAGCAACUCUUUGUUUAUGCUGUUGGGAGAGCUUAUAAGCUAUGUAGCUUAAAAGCUCUUACAUAUUUACCAAAUGUGUAAAAAAUUAUAUAAUACUACUAAAGAGCUUAUAAAUUUUUGUUGACUAAAAAGUAAGCUGAGCUAAUAUGCUCGGAGUUUGAUUUCUAAAUUUGCUUGAUGUUCAUCAGCUAUUGGUUACCCAGCACUAUUCUCUUAAUACAUCCUAGGGGUACCAUUAAGAGCCUUAAACAACACUUUAACCUAAGUUGGCAAAUUAUCUCAAUCUUUUGGGAGCAGAGGGGAAGUAUUAUCAACAAGAGGGCAUGGGGUUGCUUGGUACUGCCCAAGUACAAAAACUCUACAGAUUAGUCAAAAUGUAUGUAGGGCUAUUCCUGAAGCUUUCAGCAGAAAUAAGAGGAUGACUCGUAAAAGGAAAACCCAGAGUCUGGAACAAAAAACUUGAUUCUAAUAAAGGGGUAAUUGGUGCUGCCAAAGCCCUUUUGGUCCUCUCCCUCCAAAUAACCAUCAAGGUAGCAAAGGGGCUAAGAAAAAUGAGUUUCUCUCUACGUAUAUAACCCCAUAUUCCUUGCCAGUUGCCUUCCCCAAAUCUCUUCAACUACCGAACACCUCAUCACCCUACUGAAACCAAGAAAGUCAAGGCAACACGCUUUAGUGGAAAGGAGAAAAAUCAUUGCAAAAGGAGGUGGUUCAAUAGUUUGAUUGCUCUCUUACACUAAGAACACCUAUCAACAAUUAUCUUCCAUCCCCUUUUAUUAGAGAGUUGUUAACAUUGAGAAUUUUCCCUCACUUUUCUCUCAAGCAAAAAAAGGGAGAAGCAUUAAGCUUCAAUGAUCAGGGAAAAAAAGAGCCACAUGCAAAUAGUAGGACUUCGAAAAACAUUUCCCACCGAAAGGACCACUAGAAUCCAACUUCAAAGUCAGGCUUAUCAUUCCCCUCAUAAUUUUUUUUUUGAAAUAAUUAUUCCUGUCCUAAUAACCUUAAAGAGAGGGUGGUGGAUGAGAUUAACGUACGCAUCAACUUUGCAGUCAUAAGGUUCCUCACAAG